AAAUCUGUCAACCUCCUCCUGCCGCAGCUGUUCAGAUUAUAGAGCAAAGGGCAGCCGUCAACAUGAGCAGGGAGAGCCCAGAAGUUACAUACCCACGCAAACAGAGCACAGAGAGCGGCAGAGGAAAGAAAAUGCUCACAGCUUAUUUUUAAUGCCAGAAAUGUAAGAGUAUCUUUGUUACUAUCACUAAACACAGGCUUUGAUUCCUUGUUUCCAUAACUUGUGAUUGGAAAUUCACUGUCAAGAAGGAAGAUAAUUAUGGAAGAAACCAAGGCAACAUGUGCUAUGGGCUAUUUUAGAGCUCUGUACAAAAUAUGUUGAGAAAAUCCUCAAAAUUUGAGGUAGACUAUGAAAGAAGCACAUCUCUGAGCAUGACAGAGGGUGAAAAAUCUGACACCUAAAGAAAUUGUUAUAUGCUCAAUGGCACACAGCUAGGAAGUUAGAAAACGGAAAUUUGAACCCCACACAUCUUGCUCCAGAAUUUGUACUAAACCCCAACCUGCAUCUGCUCACCCUGCUCCUGAGCUAGUCAUGGAUCCACUCUGAGAAAGCACUGUCAGAGAUCACUGAAAAUACAACAGGCCAUCUCAGAUCAGGCCGAAUUCACUGCCUCUGGAGAUAUUAAAGAAAAGAUCGAAGGACUUCUUAUGAAGGAGUUUUAUGAGAGGCACAAACAUUGGAGAUAUCAAAUGCAACUGUAAAGUCCUUCCAAACAGGAGAUUGCAAAAAAGAUGAGACAGCCUCUUUCGAAUGAGAAGAUAACAAGAGUCUUUAUUCAUGAAUUUUUUGGGGGAAUAGACCAACUGGCUGGUAGGAAAAACUCAUGGAGAAGAGUAGUUUCAAGUAAUGCUGAAAAGGUAGGCUGGAAUCAGAAGAGAAUGGGAAGGAAGUAGACACUCUGUUAAUGUUCUCAUAAAUUAUGUAAAAAGUAAUCAUUCCUGGUUACUUAUAAAUAUGUAUAUAAUUGCAAAAGAGCCUAUAAAUCAAGAUUCUUAGUUUAAACAUUACGACUAGUAAAUUCAUAUGACUCAAAGAUUCAAAAGGCAAACGGCAUCUCGCUCAAAUCACAGUGUUUGCUUACGGUGACAAAGAGUUUAUGUACUUAGAUCUUCCGGAGAAUGGGUGCAUCUCAGAAGUUCAAGAACAAUUUGUUCAGGAUGGCGAGAGAUAGCUAUCCAAAACCUUCUUUACACCUGGAUUCCCUCCUGUUUCCACGCUGUCAUAGCCGGACUUCUACAGUUAUCCUUAAUCAUGGGCAGUGAGUCGUACCUUGUAGGAGCAAAAUAAAUAUUUGCUGAAUAAAUCCUCAGAGCUGCUAUUAAAAAUAGGAAACACUGGAGACAAAGAAGCAAUCAAGAAAAUAAAGUAACCUCAGCUGUGGAAAUAGAGAACCUGUAUGAUAUUCCUGCUUGUCUCCUCAUAAUUUCUCCAAAGGCACGAAGAUUUUGUUUCUCUGUACUGAAGCUGAAAAACAAUAUACUUUAGGGUGUAUCUGAUUUUAUAGAAAUAAUUCUAAACAAUGUUUUGCUUUACUUCACAGAAAAUGCAGUACUUAAAGCCACUGGUAAAUAUUUAUUCUUUUCUCUAAGUGCCUGGGAGAAUUUGCUGAAGUUUUUAAUGUAAAUCUACCUGAUAACCUUGGUUUAUACUCCAGGAGGCUUUGCCUAAAGCAAGGUUAGGCAACUAGACCUACAGAGCAAUCGAAUGGAGGGAAAUUCUGAGAAAUCGGCCACAGAAACAAAUUAAGAGCUGAAAUGUGCCAAUAAGGACCCAAGGCCCCUGUUCUCUGGUGGUAACCAGCCCCUUUAUAAUAAGUAACCGUCUACUGGUCUCUUAUUAUACCCUGAGUAUGGUUCCUAGGAAAGUGGGCCAGGAUCCUUUUAACUAUCAGAUUUUCCAUUUAUUUCAGAAAAGAUCCAUUUUUUUUUAUGUGAUUCAAUUGGGUUGUUGGGUUAUUGCCCUUUAUGCUCUUAUAGAAAGAAUAUAUUCUUGUGUCUACUUCUAUUAUCCAUGUCCUUGAUCUUCAAUUAUAAAACCUGUGCUUCUUUUAGGAUCCUCCUGAGAUGACUAGCUUAACUGAAUCAAUGAGAAAUGAACUCUUAUCAUCAGAUACCCUAACACAAUUGAGCUAACAGAAAUCAAAAUAGACAAAGGAAUUAUGAAAGAUACAUUGCCAGUACUGUAUCCAAUAGGUUGAUAUGUAUUAAAAUAGGCUACUAGACUUUCUUGUAUUUGACAGUCUUGAAAGUGAAUUGCUUUUGAAAUUAUUAAAGGGAAAAUGUGAAUAUCUUUUUUAGUGUUAUCAAUCCCACAAAAAUUUCUGAUGAGCACUUCCAAGACAUUUUCACACAACAGUCUUUGCCUGAAGUUUGUAAACCUUUGGUUAAGGAAAAUAACACAUUUUAAGCGUAAGUUCUUUUGGCAUUGUGAUGGAAGACCAGGAAUAUAAAACACUCUGAUAUAGCAAAAACAGAGCUAAGCAGAUGCCAUGCACACGCAGGACUCCUGACAGCCAAGGGAAGCUAUGUGGGGACAAGCUACAGUCAUAGCUGUUCUUUCCCUUGCUUAGUGGUCUCACUUCUGAUAAAAUGUAGAAUCUUCGAGUAACUAAAUCAAGCCCCUAAUGUCACCAAGAGAGCUUGUUACUGGCAUUAGCAGCGGCAUUGACCCUGUAAGUAUGCAAUUGCUGAGCUUCCCCUUGACAACCAGUUCCUCAAAGGCUCUUUGCAGGAUAAUGUAAGCAUGUAAAUAGGAAGAGCAGCAAGGCUUGCCCAGUACUUAGUAAUAUAAAUAUGACAAUUCCUGUUGCUAUUUUUGACUCUUGCAGAAUUACAAUGGAAACAAGGCUGCUUGGGAAGAGUUAUGGCUUUAGUGUGCUUAGUUUUGGGGUGAAAAUAGAGAUAAGGGUUGGUGCAGUUAAAAAUAAAUUAUUCUGUUGCCAUGGUUUUCUUCUUUAUAAAUUCUUUUCAACAUGAAUUGCUGUUGUUGUGUUUAAUUUUAGAUUCAUGCAGAUUGUCGACAAAUAAGAAUUCCUAUACAUCUGAGAAAUGUUUUAUUAAAAAAAAAAAACUGUAGGAAAGGAUUUUGGCAGUCUGGUUUAAACAUUUCUAAGCAAAAUAACCUGCAGGGUUCUGGCUUUUAGACAACUACCAAAAGAAAGUGAAUAAACAGAAUGAGAACUUAGAGAACGUGGAAGACUACAUUUAAUCUUCUGUUUAAAACAUAAUAUUAGGUAUUAUUGCAAUAUUUAAGGGUAUGUGAGUUUUGAGGACUGCUUCCCAGAGCCAUAAGAAACUAUCCUUCCUAUAGAAUAACUCUUUGACAGAGUAUCCAUGAAAUAUUUUAGGUACCAAAUGAUAAUUUAGGUAAAUACGCAUUGACUAAUAUCAAAGGUUCAAAUUGUGUUUUCAAAAUCUGUCAUAUUACCUCAAAUACAAUUUAAUUUUCUUGAA